rnacentral:rRNA from 1 species
UGAGGAAUAUUGGACAAUGGAGGCAACUCUGAUCCAGCCAUGCCGCGUGAAGGACUAAGGCCCUAUGGGCUGUAAACUUCUUUAGACGCAGAGCAAUAAGGGCCACGCGUGGUCCGAUGAGAGUAGCAUACGAAUAAGCAUCGGCUAACUCCGUGCCAGCAGCCGCGGUAAUACGGAGGAUGCAAGCGUUAUCCGGAUUCAUUGGGUUUAAAGGGUGCGUAGGCGGCUUGGUAAGUCAGCGGUGAAAUUCCAGUGCUCAACAUUGGCCGUGCCGUUGAUACUGCUGGGCUUGAAUGCGGAUGCCGUGGGAGGAAUGUGUGGUGUAGCGGUGAAAUGCAUAGAUAUCACACAGAACACCGAUUGCGAAGGCAUCUCACGAAUCCGCAAUUGACGCUGAGGCACGAA